AAGAUAGAUGAUGAAGAAAUUCGAAACUUCUCACUAAAAAUUGAACCAUUCCGGUCAAUUAUUCUUGCUUUCUGAGUGUUAAAUCACUAUAUCUUGUCCGAAAUCUUUGCUUUCAGACUGGAUCGUUUGAUUUUGUUUGGGUUAAAUCCCUACGUGUUGCCGGAAUUUUCGAACUUGCAUGUCCUAGUAGCCGGACAACGAUCUUCCUGGUAGCUCAGAGUUUAUCUUCCCGGCUAGUAGACGUACAACUCUGAUCGAGUCUCAGUGCAGCCAAGAAGACCAUAUAUACAACCAAGAAUGACAAAGGCAUGGAAAGAUCAUUUCAGAAGCUCAAAUAAGUUGUAACUGGCUAUGUAUCUAUAAAAUAAUAGCAUAUGUGGUUCAAA